AUGCACAGUGUUUAAUUCUGUGUUGUUUUUCUUUUCUCCCCAGCUAGCACAUCCUAUCUGCAUCGUGCUGAUCCACUUGCUGUCAGGAGAACUGGUCCCAUCUUGGGCAGCCCUUAUGGGGUUGGGUUAUGCCCACACUGGGCGAUCCCCCCAUGUCUCUGCAUGCUGCACACCCCUCCUCUGGCCUAUGGGAGAUCAAGAGAGAGCUGCUUCCAUGCAAGAAAUAAGAAAACAAUUGGUUAAUCCUUACUGUAUUCUUGAAACCUUUGGGGUCCUGAGAAACUUCCUCAGCUGGGUUUCUUCAAUGAGGUGAAAAUGGUGUGGAGUAUUAUUAACUUCUUGGUAAGGCUGCUUUCUGGUGUAACGCUUCCCUUACGUUAGUGAGAUAUGUAUAUGCUGAGCCAAUUCCUAGAGUAAAUCUUCAUCUUUAGCUCUUGGGUGCCCUGUCAGAUGUACUUCAGGUCCAAAGUUGCACCUCGGGUUUGGCUUGCGUUUUGAGCUGGGAAUUAGGCAGACACAGAAGGAAAAUAAAGUGACCUCUGUAUGGAUCAUC
rnacentral:lncRNA from 7 species